AGAGCACUCUUCUGUCUGUAGAGGUCUCAGGUGCUCUACAAGGGAGUCCCAUUUCAGGUGUGGGGCUGGGUAUGGUCACUCCUGCUGGAUGUCUAGAAGGUGAAAACCAAGGACCUAGGAAAAUACCAGAUACAGCCUUUCCACCGUCAUCCAGAGCAGGACAAACACGCCAGGUGGUGUCAGGAGCCCAGGUCUCCAGCUGGAGGGAAUGUCAACCCUGCAGUGGGAGCCCAUCAUGCAUCCUAGGCACAGAUGCUAACGUAGGCACCGCAGGUAAGCUGGGUUUGGUACCCCUUCCUGGCUUCAGAAAGAAGCCAAACAAGGAGCUUUCUGCAGAAUGAAACCUCUUUUCCAUCCAGAAGCACUGCUGACUGUUUGGUGGUUGCUGUUAGGGCAGUGAGCCUUUUGUCCAUUCUGAGAUUAGGCUGGUUUCUCCUCUUGGCCCUGGCCUACAGACCAUAAAGGAAAACAGCAAGAGGUCCCCAGCAAACAUCUACAGAUGGCCCUGGACAUCAGCCACAUUCAGAGAAACGUGUCAUGUUCUGGGAGGGCUAAGGCAUCGAGUAAGGCCUAUGGGGCUGGAGGAUCACAGGGCAGGUGGGGCAAUCCAGAGCUGUGGGGGCUUCCAUGGGAAUUGGGAGGUCCCAAGGCAGAGGUAGGGGUUCCACAGGAGGAGUCACAGAGCCACCAAGGGCUCUCCUGGCCCAGGGAGCAGUCAACACCAUGGACUGAACACCCACUGGGCUAAGCCCUGGGCCAGGCUGGGGCAUGUGGGGCCAGGAGGCAGCUCAGAGUGGGAGACAGAGAGACAAGUGUGCUCAGAGGGCACCCAUAUCUGCAUAUAACGUGGUCCUGAAUUUCUGGCUGGGAAGUGCUUCCAGGGUUUCAUAUGUGUUAUGGAGAUGCUUCCUCUCUCCAACCUCACCGUGCAGGAAUCCCAGUGAAUAUAUUGCCACCAUCUUGGAGCUCAGUGCCCUCAUAGUGUAACAGCACCAGCAGAUCUGCCUGUGCACAGACUUCCUGUACUACCUCACUCCUGAGGGGAGAUGCUUCUGCAGGGCCUGCGACCUGGUGCACAACUUUAGACACCAUCAUCCUGGAGCGGCACUGCACCCUCACUAGCCAGGGUGUUGAUGACUUCCUCAAUGCCAAGGCCACGUUCAAGAUUUUCGACUUCAGUGAUGCGUUUGUGCUGAGCAAGGUGGGCUUCUCCGGGAUCUUAAUUCAGGAGGUAGAAUGCAGCUUGAGAUCUAGUGUCUGAUCAAAGAACUUGAACUUGACCUGGAGGGCUCUGGGGAGCCAUGGAAGGUGCUGGAUAAAGGAAGGGACAGUCAUAUAUAUUUUAGAGAUGACUGUGGAAGGCUGCCUGGAAGGAGUGAACAAGAGCCAGGAGACCAGGGAGGGAGUUUGUGGGGCAGGUCUGGAGAUGGCAAGGGAGGGAUCCUGCUUGGAUGAAAGGUCUUCAGGGACUGUCUCAGGUUACACUCAGGUGCCCUCAGAGCUACUGUGUUCAGGGUUCUUGUCUCCAGGAUGAAAAUAAGGAGGAGUUGUCAGACAAGGACAUAUACAUGGAGGCUGGCAUCUUCAUGAGUGCCAAUCGUGGUCCUGGUGUGGACUACUGUGGGAGCAGGGGUCUCUCCAUCCAGGGACAUGGUGGAUGGACCCUACAUCACUCCAUUCUGCCCUUCCUUUCCCUCCCAUUCUCCUGAGGGACUCAAUGCAUGGGCACUGUCCAACCUCUGGUGCUGAAGCAGCCAAGAGACCCAAGCCUGCCUUGCUGCCACUUAGGAUAUGACAGCACAGCCAGUGGCCUCUACUGGAUCCUGGUACCCCUCAGAAGACACCCAGACACUGGGAGUGCUGCCACCUCGUGGUGCAAGAGUUCUGAGGGACGGCAAUUCUGAAGACAUUGAAUGGUGGGUGCUGGGCCUCAUGGCUGUUCCCCAGCCCCUCUCAUUGGCUCUGCUCCAGGUGGAGAAGGGGGAUGAUGUCUCUGUCAGUUCUGCUGUUUUAGCCUAGAAGGAAAAGAAGCAGAGCCCAGAAGCAGGGCCUGGUACCCAGCCUGCCUAACAAGGGAGAAUUUGUAGGCUUUGUGGACAGAAAGAUCUGGGACUCCAUGUCACCCACUAACUUGCUGAGACAUUAGUAAAAUCAGUUUUCUUUUCUGAACUAUGUUUCUGUCAUCUGUACAUUGAGAGGAAUUUCUUUUACUCCACGAGGCUGCUUGGAGAAUUAGUGACAGUGUGUGUAGAGCAUGUGCCACCCAGCAGGCAUUUGGUGUCGAGACCACACCUCCUCCCCCUUCAUUUUCAGCCUAAAUUUGCAUUUUGUUCUUAAGACUUUCACUCGCCUUAAUUUUACUCUUUCCUCUGAUUCCCACCUUAUCGUCUAUCCCAUGGAGUCACUAGGAUCUAAGUGGGUAACAGUCAUGUAUGCAUGUAUGUGUAUGUACGUAUAUACUUUGUUGGUGUUGGAGUGUGGUGUGUGAAUGUGUGUGUGUGUGUGUGUUGGAGUUACUGGGUGACUGAAACUGUACACAUCAGGCUGUGGUUCUGCCCAUUGCUGGAAGCGCUGUCAGGGGUCCUGCCCUCAACCCCAGGUCUGACCCUUGCAGCGCAGGCAGGACAUUCUGGAGGAAUCAUGCCCUUGGGAGGAUCCCUGAGGAGUGACUGGUGGGUAUUGGUGGAUAAAUACCCCUGGUCCCUUGCUCUGGGUAUGAUGACUCUGAAGCACAUGUUCUGUGCUGUCUCUCAGAGGUACCUGGCAGGGCUGAGUCCUGGCUGCCACAGUGGAAACUUUCUUGAUGAAGGUCCCUUUAACUGCUGCAUUCCUUUCCUGUCUCAGUUCCCCACUCCUCCACUGAUGUUUCCUGGGAUUAGCACCCUAAGGAAGAACUGGCAGUCGAAUUAAUAUCCUAGCGUUAUCUCCAAACAAAAUUUUUGUAUUUGAAUCUUUGCCUCAGGAUCUACUUCCAGGAAAUUCAGACUAAGACACACAUUUUUCUUUUGGCUCCUUGAAUCCCCAUAGGCCUGACAUUUUGCUGUUUUUAUCAAAAAGGAACAUGAGGAUCAGAGAGGGAAAGUCACUUGCCCAAAGUCACCCAGCUGAACAGUGGUAGAGUUCAACUUUGAUCAUGAGAUGUCUGGCCCCCAGGUGGAGGCUUGCUCCUCUCCCAUGAGACUCCUUCCUUAUCAGGGUCAAAUGAAUGAAUGGAGGAUGUUAAAAGUGGGGUCUCUGAUGCCUUUGCCAGAUAAACCCCAGGCUCAUGGCUGGCGCCUGUUUUCUCAUUCUUACCUCAUUAAGAGUAGUAAUGAAAAACAUGCUCAGUGCUGACCGUGUGCCUGGGGGUGUUGUAGGCACUCCACUUACUUUAAUUCAUUUAAUUUUCACAAUAACCUUGUUUUUACUUCUAGUUGUUAUAUGAAAAAACUGAGGCAAAGAGCAAUACAGAGAGUUGCAAAAAUUCAUACCGCUGGUCCAGGUUUGAACCAAACAGUCUGCACCUGGAGUCCUUGUUUGUAACCAUGGCACCCUGUCUUCACACAUAUCUCAUCGUGGAGUUCCAUCUUGUGUUAGGCAUGGCACUGAGCAGCUUCUUUUAAGAACAUAAUUUGUAGCCAGGCGCAGUGGCUUAUGCCUGUAAUCCCAGCACUUUGGGAGGCCGAGGCGGGCAGAUCACGAGGUCAGGAGAUCCAGACCAUCCUGGCUAACUUGGUGAAACCCCGUCUCUAAUAAAAACACAAAAAAUUAGCUGGGCAUGAUGAUUGGCGCCUAUAGUCCCAGCUACUUGGGAGGCUGAGGCAGGAGACUGGCAUGAACCCGGGAGGUGGAACUUGCAGUGAGCCGAGAUGGCGCGACUGCACUCCAGCCUGGGCGAGAGAGCAAGACUCCAUCUAAAAAAAAAGAAAAAAACAUGAUUUGUAAUUAUGUAAAUUACUAAUUCUACUUCAAAGUGCCACACAGCCUUCAUGUGAUAAAAUGAAGCAAUUGGUAAGUCUAAGCAUUGAGAAAAAACAUUAUUUUUCCCAGCUCCAUUGCAACAGUUGGGACAGUGUUUUCUCUGUGCCUAUAGAAACCUCAGCUAGUGUGCCGAGGAGUCUGGUCCCUUUGGGGAAUGUGGCAGUCAGGUUCUGGCAGGGACCUCGAAGUGGCUGGUAAUGUCUUUCAUUACCACCACCACGUGACCUGGUCUUACGACCUGUUAGCUUCCUUCAUCAGGCAUGAGCACCAGGAUGGCAGGGGCCUCAUCUGUCCUGUUCCUCCUGUGGCCUGGGUCCUAGCACCAUGUCUGGUACAGUGUAGGUGCUCAAGGGAAGUUUACUUUAUAGAACUGUCUACCUGGGAGAUGUUGCUGUUAGUCUAACCUGUACCAUUUUGUAAACCUGCAGCCGUUUUGCACACCCUGGUCAGAAUGAAACAUUCCUUGGGAACUCGGGCCGUGAGAAGCAUCCUUCCUGAUCACCUGACUGUAGAAACAUCCUUAUCGCACCCUCCCGGGCAAAGGCCCAACAGCCUGACUGCAGGAACAUCCUUGCCAUAUCCUGCCGGGCAGCAAGCUCUACCGCCCACACCCCUCCUUCCCAGUCCCAUGAUCACCCCAGCCUGUGAGAGGCAGUUGGUGCUGGCAGUAAGCUGGUUUCCUCCUCUGCAGGGUUUUGCUAGUAAUAAAGGUGUUGCUGUUGAAGCCGUCAA
ensembl:lncRNA FAM95B1 family with sequence similarity 95 member B1